AGUGAACGCUGGCGGUAGGCCUAACACAUGCAAGUCGAACGGCAGCACAGUAAGAGCUUGCUCUUACGGGUGGCGAGUGGCGGACGGGUGAGGAAUACAUCGGAAUCUACUUUUUCGUGGGGGAUAACGUAGGGAAACUUACGCUAAUACCGCAUACGACCUACGGGUGAAAUCAGGGGAUCUUCGGACCUUGCGCGAUUGAAUGAGCCGAUGUCGGAUUAGCUAGUUGGCGGGGUAAAGGCCCACCAAGGCGACGAUCCGUAGCUGGUCUGAGAGGAUGAUCAGCAACACUGGAACUGAGACACGGUCCAGACUCCUACGGGAGGCAGCAGUGGGGAAUAUUGGACAAUGGGCGCAAGCCUGAUCCAGCCAUACCGCGUGGGUGAAGAAGGCCUUCGGGUUGUAAAGCCCUUUUGUUGGGAAAGAAAAGCAGCAGGUUAAUACCCCGCUGUUCUGACGGUACCCAAAGAAUAAGCACCGGCUAACUUCGUG
rnacentral:rRNA from 1 species